rnacentral:rRNA from 1 species
UACGUAGGGGGCUAGCGUUGUCCGGAAUCAUUGGGCGUAAAGAGCGUGUAGGCGGCCCGGUAAGUCCGCUGUAAAAGUCAAAGGCUCAACCUUUGAAUGUCAGUGGAUACUGCCGGGCUAGAGUCCGGAAGAGGCGAGUGGAACUCCUGGUGUAGCGGUGAAAUGCGCAGAUAUCAGGAAGAACACCUGUGGCGAAGGCGGCUCUCUGGGACGGUACUGACGCUGAGACGCGAAAGCGUGGGGAGCGAACAGG